rnacentral:rRNA from 1 species
UGGGGAAUUUUGGACAAUGGGCGAAAGCCUGAUCCAGCCAUGCCGCGUGCAGGAUGAAGGCCUUCGGGUUGUAAACUGCUUUUGUACGGAACGAAAAGACUCUGGUUAAUACCUGGGGUCCAUGACGGUACCGUAAGAAUAAGCACCGGCUAACUACGUGCCAGCAGCCGCGGUAAUACGUAGGGUGCAAGCGUUAAUCGGAAUUACUGGGCGUAAAGCGUGCGCAGGCGGUUAUAUAAGACAGAUGUGAAAUCCCCGGGCUCAACCUGGGAACUGCAUUUGUGACUGUAUAGCUAGAGUACGGCAGAGGGGGGAUGGAAUUUCCGCGUGUAGCAGUGAAAUGCGUAGAUAUGCGGAGGAACACCGAUGGCGAAGGCAAUCCCCUGGGCCUGUACUGACGCUCAUGCACGAAAGCGUGGGGAGCAAACAGGAUUAGAUACCCUGGUAGUCCACGCCCUAAACGAUGUCAACUGGUUGUUGGGUCUUCACUGACUCAGUAACGAAGCUAACGCGUGAAGUUGACCGCCUGGGGAGUACGGCCGCAAGGUUGAAACUUAAAUGAAUUGACGGGGUCAUAGCUGUUUCCU